CGCGACUUGUACUGCGGUAGUUUUUCAUUUUUUGGAAGGAAUAUAGUUUCCACCCAUCCAUAUACUUUGAGUAAUUUAUAGAUAUAAACGGAUUUUAUUUUGGAACUUUGCUACUUGAAGGUUAACCUGAGUUAUUAUGUCUGCCAGCUCAGCAAACAAGGUAAAAAUAUUACAAUUGUGCUAGACUCUAUGUUAUUAAAAUGAAUAACGAAUAUACUCCAGAUAUUUCAUAUUUUGAUUGGUAUUAUUACAAUCUAUACAAAGAUAGCCAGGUCUCAUGAACCCGCAUGAACCA